AGUCUGCAUUUGGGCUCCUUUCUACCAGCCACAAACAGCAAACCUGACAGUGAGACACACUUAAAAGCAGCAGAUGGUUCUCCGGUGUUGUUGGGAGAAAACAAUCCUAACGGUGGCCUUCUCCGCUUGCAUGGACAUGGCUCUCAUACCGACAGUCUAAAGGGAAAACGUACUAAAAGCAAUUUCAAAACUUGGACUCAACCCCAUGCUGUCUGCUUAAGUUAUUGUGGAAUUACAAGGAAAUGUAACUGCUUGGCCGUCAAUUAUAUUGGAGCAUCUGAAACUAUUAAAUAUUCCUUCAUGCA